rnacentral:rRNA from 1 species
CGCGGCCUAUCAGCUUGUUGGUGAGGUAACGGCUCACCAAGGCGACGACGGGUAGCCGGCCUGAGAGGGUGACCGGCCACACUGGGACUGAGACACGGCCCAGACUCCUACGGGAGGCAGCAGUGGGGAAUAUUGCACAAUGGGCGCAAGCCUGAUGCAGCAACGCCGCGUGAGGGAUGACGGCCUUCGGGUUGUAAACCUCUUUUAGCAGGGAAGAAGCGAAGGUGACGGUACCUGCAGAAAAAGCACCGGCUAACUACGUGCCAGCAGCCGCGGUAAUACGUAGGGUGCAAGCGUUGUCCGGAAUUAUUGGGCGUAAAGAGCUCGUAGGCGGUUUGUCACGUCUGCUGUGAAAAUCCAAGGCUCAACCUUGGACUUGCAGUGGGUACGGGCAGGCUAGAGUGCGGUAGGGGAGAUGGGAAUUCCUGGUGUAGCGGUGGAAUGCGCAGAUAUCAGGAGGAACACCAAUGGCGAAGGCACAUCUCUGGGCCGUAACUGACGCUGAGGAGCGAAAGCGUGGGGAGCGAACAGGAUUAGAUACCCUGGUAGUCCACGCCGUAAACGGUGGGUGCUAGCUGUGGGCCACAUUCCACGUGGUCCGUGACGAAGUUAACACAUUAAGCACCCCGCCUGGGGAGUACGG